CAUGGUAAGCCAGAUGUGAAAGCCUUGGGCUUAACCCGAGGAUUGCAUUUGGAACUAUCAAGCUAGAGUACAGGAGAGGAAAGCGGAAUUCCUAGUGUAGCGGUGAAAUGCGUAGAUAUUAGGAAGAACACCAGUGGCGAAGGCGGCUUUCUGGACUGAAACUGACGCUGAGGCUCGAAAGCGUGGGGAGCAAACAGGAUUAGAUACCCUGGUAGUCCACGCCGUAAACGAUGUGUGCUAGGUGUCGGGGAGGAAUCCUCGGUGCCGCAGCUAACGCAAUAGGCACUCCACCUGGGGAGUACGACCGCAAGGUUGAAACUCAAAGGAAUUGACGGGGGCCCGCACAAGCGGUGGAGCAUGUGGUUUAAUUCGAAGCAACGCGAAGAACCUUACCAAGGCUUGACAUCCCGAUGACCGCUCUAGAGAUAGAGCUUCUCUUCGGAGCAUCGGUGACAGGUGGUGCAUGGUUGUCGUCAGCUCGUGUCGUGAGAUGUUGGGUCAAGUCCCGCAACGAGCGCAACCCUUAUCUUCAGUAGCCAUCAUUCAGUUGGGCACUCUGGAGAGACUGCCGUGGAUAACACGGAGGAAGGUGGGGAUGACGUCAAAUCAUCAUGCCCCUUAUGUCUUGGGCUACACACGUGCUACAAUGGCUGGUAACAAAGUGACGCGAAACGGCGACGUUAAGCAAAUCACAAAAACCCAGUCCCAGUUCGGAUUGUAGUCUGCAACUCGACUACAUGAAGCUGGAAUCGCUAGUAAUCGCGAAUCAGCAUGUCGCGGUGAAUACGUUCCCGGGCCUUGUACACACCGCCCGUCACACCAUGGGAGUUGGAAGCACCCGAAGUCGGUGACCUAACCGUAAGGAAGGAGCCGCCGAAGGUGAAGCCAGUGACUGGGGUGAAGUCGUAACAAGGUAACCA
rnacentral:rRNA from 1 species